ACGAACGCUGGCGGCGUGCUUAACACAUGCAAGUCGUACGGUAAGGCCCUUUCGGGGGUACACGAGUGGCGAACGGGUGAGUAACACGUGAGUAACCUGCCCACAACUUUGGGAUAACGCUAGGAAACUGGUGCUAAUACUGGAUAUGUGCUCCUGCUGCAUGGUGGGGGUUGGAAAGCUCCGGCGGUUGUGGAUGGACUCGCGGCCUAUCAGCUUGUUGGUGGGGUAGUGGCCUACCAAGGCGGCGACGGGUAGCCGGCCUGAGAGGGUGACCGGCCACAUUGGGACUGAGAUACGGCCCAGACUCCUACGGGAGGCAGCAGUGGGGAAUAUUGCACAAGGGGCGCAAGCCUGAUGCAGCAACGCCGCGUGCGGGAUGACGGCCUUCGGGUUGUAAACCGCUUUCAGCAGGGACGAAGCUUUUUGUGACGGUACCUGCAGAAGAAGCACCGGCUAACUACGUG
rnacentral:rRNA from 1 species